CCCGAGAAGGUUACAAAAGGCGAUUGACAGGAAGAGAAGGUCUGCUCACUGCUACAACAGAGAUGAACUUGAAACUGAUUGACAGACAUCUCCUCUAGACUGUUUUUCUUCUCAUUGUGAUGAUACCAGUGGUGAUGAAGAAUAGAUGAUAAAAGUUCAUAGGAAGAUAGAUACCUUUAACUGUCAUUGUCAAACUCAGAUGUCACAACGGAGACACGCCAACCAAAAUAAAGCCAGGGCUGACUGAAAAGACUUUUCCUUUUAUCCAUUCACUUAACAGAAAAUUAAGGACGAGCACUUACAAUACAAAGACCCCUCCCUAGUCUGUAUUCAGAGAGCCCAGUCCUUCCUUAGAAAAUACAGUAUUCCCAAUCCUUCAUACUACACUCAUUGUAAAUAAGCAGCAAAUACGUGUUGAGUUGAAGAAAGUAAAGAUACGGAGAAUAUAUACUCCUUCAAAUACAACGAAGAGAAACAUUAACACAAGUUGACUAUUUGCAGUGUUUCAGGUGCAGUGAAUUAUAUGGAUGGCCAGAAAGAGGCCAAACACGUGCACACUGUAGGUGCCAGGGAUACACAGACGUGGCCCCUAGAGAAGAAUUAGAUGCCACGGGUCUCAGUGCACGUGCCUUUGCCCUGCUCAGGGCACUUUAGGUGGAAAACUGAGGAAGGAACAUGGUCCUUCUCUCUUCUACCUCGUUUUGCAGUUGCAGACAUCCUUAAGGCCACAGAAGAAAGAGGAAUCAAAGGUUGCUGUACAUCGAAUACAAGUUGAAUGAAACAGGUAAG
rnacentral:lncRNA from 13 species